rnacentral:rRNA from 1 species
AGCAGUAGCCACGGUAAUACGAAGGGGGCUAGCGUUGUUCGGAUUUACUGGGCGUAAAGGGCGCGUAGGCGGACUGAUAAGUCAGGGGUGAAAUCCCAAGGCUCAACCUUGGAACUGCCUUUGAUACUGUUUGUCUUGAGUUCGAGAGAGGUAAGUGGAACUGCGAGUGUAGAGGUGAAAUUCGUAGAUAUUCGCAAGAACACCAGUGGCGAAGGCGGCUUACUGGCUCGAAACUGACGCUGAGGCGCGAAAGCGUGGGGAGCAAUCAGGAUUAGAUACCCGCGUAGUCCCUGUCUCUUAUAC